rnacentral:rRNA from 1 species
GGAGUUAGCCGGUGCUUCUUCUGUGAGUGAUGUCCUUCCUGCCGGCUAUUAACCCGCAGGCCUUCUUCCUCACUGAAAGUGCUUUACAACCCGAAGGCCUUCUUCACACACGCGGCAUGGCUGGAUCAGGGUUGCCCCCAUUGUCCAAUAUUCCCCACUGCUGCCUCCCGUAGGAGUCUGGGCCGUGUCUCAGUCCCAGUGUGGCUGAUCAUCCUCUCAGACCAGCUACGGAUCGUCGCCUUGGUGAGCCGUUACCUCACCAACCAGCUAAUCCGACAUAGGCUCAUCCGAUAGCGCGAGGCCCGAAGGUCCCCCGCUUUCCCCCGUAGGGCGUAUGCGGUAUUAGCCUGGGUUUCCCCAGGUUAUCCCCCACUACCGGGCAGAUUCCUAUGCAUUACUCACCCGUCCGCCGCUCGCCACCAGGGAGCAAGCUCCCCGUGCUGCCGCUCGACUUGCAUGUGUUAGGCCUGCCGCCAGCGUUCAAUCUGAGCAGAUACAACUACUGA